CGCCCUCCGCCUCCGCCUCUGCCCCCGACGCCGUCGCCGACGCCCUUUUGACCUCCCUCUCGCGACCUCUGCUCCGCUCUCUCCCUCUUUCCUCUGCGGAGCGCCCUUGCUGGCCAACCCCGACGCCGACGAACCCCUUCUCGCGUUUUGGCCUCCCGCCUUGAAGGGGACUCUUAAUGUUUUGAAGUCGUGUUCCAAAGCACCUUCUGUCAAGCGUGUGGUCUUAAUAUCAUCUAUGCUUGCAGUUGCGUUCACUGGACAACCAUUGACAGUUGAUGUUGCAGUUGAUGAAAAUUGGUUUUCUGAUCCAGAGUUCUGCAGGAAAAGAAACAAGUUAUCAUAAUGUCGUCAAUUUGGAAGUGGCUUUCUGUUUCGUCAAGAGUGCUUUAUCUCCCUCUCUUUUUCUUCCAACGGUUGUGGCUUGGUGAUUGGUCCUCUUUUACAGCCAACACUGAACACGAGUGCUGCAGCAAUUGCAAAUUUGGUAAAUGGACGCUUCUGCCUCUGCCUUCGCCCCUGACGCCAAUGCCGACGCCGACGCCCCUUCGCCUCCCUCUCGCAACCUCCACCUUCAUCCGUGUCUGUUCUGACAGUAUUAUUGCUUACUGAUGUGGAGGGAGGAGCUCCUGUUUUACUAUGUUGCAGAUGAGGAGCAGAAAGGACCCGUGAAUCCUUAUGAUGGCAAAGUGUAUGUUCGAUGGGAUGCCAUGUCAAAUAAAAUUCGUUGAGUGCCUUUCCUCCUCAGUCUGUGCGAUUAAAGAGACCAUUUGCAGUUCAAUCAUGGACCAAUUCAGAGGAGAACAUUGGGAAUCUUCUCAUGGUAUGAGAUAGAUAUGCUGGCAUUUACUGGCUGCAGUCACAAUUUGACAGCUGAGGAGGAUGAUGAACUACGGUUGAUGAGAUAUGAAGUAAGUCAUCGGAAGGAGAAAGAGAUUAAUGGAACAGAGAGGAGGUUACUUGGCGGCUGUCCAUUGACUCCUAGGGAGACUUCACUUCUGCUAAAGGCUCUUGGAUUCUCAUCUACUACCCGCAUUUAUUUGGUGACUGGUGAUGCUUAUGGAAAAGGAAGUAUGCAAUAUCUGAGGGACGAGUACCCCAACAUAUAUUCACAUUCUACUCUAGCAACAGAAGAAGAGCUUGCUCCUUUCAAGAAUCAUCAAAACAUGCUUGCCGUUAUAGAUUGCAUUGUCGCUUUUCAGAGCAAUGUGUUUCUUUAUACUUAUGAUAGGAAUAUGGUGAAAGCAGUUCAAGGCCAUAGGUGGUUCGAGAAUUUCAAGAAGACAAUUAAUCCAGAAAAAAUGAAUUUUGUUAAACUGGUUGAUGAACUAGAUGCGGGGAAGAUUUCUUGGAAGAAAUUCCGUUCCAAAGUGAAGAAACUUCACAGAGAUCGAAUAGGAGCUCCGUAUUUGAGGGAGUUUGGGGAAUUCCCAAAACUAGAGGAAAGUUUUUAUGCAAAUCCGCUCCCUGGGUGCAUUUGCGAAUCAACAAAGAGAAGGAAGUAAGGCUAAAAGGAGAAGUGUCUCCUUUCUCCGUGAUGCAAUUUUGGGUGCAUAAGAGAGAUGAACGCAUGUUGUCAAGGUCCAAUAAAUCUUGUCAGCCGAAGAAUGCCACAACUAAAUCAGAAAGUUCCUUGGCCUAGUGCUCAGGCUGGCCGGUAUUACAUUAGCGUCACUGAGCUGCUGAAUUUAAGGCCGCUCAAGGGAUUCUGGUGAAUAAUUUAUUCAGAAGAAAAUUUAUAGAAUACCAUUGAAAGAAAGAUUAUGAGCCCAUGGUGCUAAAAAAAAAAGAAACAAAAUGAUAGGAGACUUUUCUGUUUAGGGGAUUGGAGAAAUCCCAUGAAGUUAAAUUAUAGUAAAUUCGAUUGUGUGGCACAGAAGACCUUGUAAUACUUCAAAUUACACAGAAUGAAAGAUGUCCCUUCUUUAUCUUUA